AGGUAAUAGAUACCCGGGUAGUCCACGCCCUAAACGAUGUCAACUAGUUGUUGGGGGAGUAAAAUCCCUUAGUAACGCAGCUAAACGCGUGAAAGUUGACCGCCUGGGGAGUACGGUCGCAAGAUUAAAACUCAAAGGAAUUGACGGGGCCCGCACAAGCGGUGGAUUAUGUGGAUUAAUUCGAUGCAACGCGAAAAACCUUACCUGGCCUUGACAUGCCACUAACGAAGCAGAGAUGCAUUAGGUGCCCGAAAGGGAAAGUGGACACAGGUGCUGCAUGGCUGUCGUCAGCUCGUGUCGUGAGAUGUUGGGUUAAGUCCCGCAACGAGCGCAACCCUUGUCAAUAAUUGCCAUCAUUCAGUUGGGCACUUUAUUGGGACUGCCGGUGACAAACCGGAGGAAGGUGGGGAUGACGUCAAGUCCUCAUGGCCCUUAUGGCCAGGGCUUCACACGUAAUACAAUGGUCGGUACAGAGGGUUGCCAACCCGCGAGGGGGAGCCAAUCCCAGAAAGCCGAUCGUAGUCCGGAUUGUAGUCUGCAACUCGACUAC
rnacentral:rRNA from 1 species